GUCCACGCUGUAAACGAUGGGCACUAGGUGUGGGGGUAUUGACCCCUCCGUGCCGUAGCUAACGCAAUAAGUGCCCCGCCUGGGGAGUACGGCCGCAAGGCUAAAACUCAAAGGAAUUGACGGGGGCCCGCACAAGCAGCGGAGCGUGUGGUUUAAUUCGACGCAACGCGAAGAACCUUACCAAGGCUUGACAUGCUGGUAGUACCGAACUGAAAGGUGAGGGACCCUUCGGGGAGCCAGUGCAGGUGAUGCAUGGCUGUCGU
rnacentral:rRNA from 1 species